GGCCCCUUAGCUCAGUUGGUUAGAGCGCACGACUCAUAAUCGUUCGGUCCGCGGUUCAAGUCCGCGAGGGGCCACCA
rnacentral:tRNA from 1 species